GCCUGGGUGGCUCAGUCGGUUAAGUGUCCAGCUCUUGAUUUCAGUUCAGGUCAUGAUUUCACAGUUUGUGGGUUCGAGCCCCACAUCAGGCU
rnacentral:tRNA from 1 species